CACGCCUCCAGAGGUCACUUUACUGACCCAUGUGGCGAAUAAAUAGAAAAAAGCACGAGUUGAGUUUAGUGUUAGACGCCAAUCAAAUCAAAAGAAGAAGAAGAGUUUAGAGUCGCACAGAUUUACCUUAAUUCUACUGAAUAAAUCACCAUCAUGAUCAACUGGAAGGCUCUGGAUAACGUGCCGCUGCUGCUGUACAUCCUGGCACUGAAGACGCUCGUGUUGUGUUUGGCGUUUGCUGGAGCGAAGAUCUACCAGAGUAAGAAAGCAGACGCUGCUCUGAAACAGCAGACGGAGAUGAAGAAGAAACUCGCUCAGCAAACGCAGGAGCUCAUCGAUGACAAGAAGGACGACUGACGUGAUUUGUGGGAAAAACAGGGCCACGUAUCCACUGAGAAACCAACAUUUAGAGAUUACAAAAAAGGGUCACACAAGUGAACUAGAUCAACUUUUAUCUUUAAAUGCUUCCUGGGAGCUAAACGUAAGUCACCUCAUCUAAAUAUUCACAACAAACCCCCUUUCAAAAUGAAACCAAGAAAUACACUUUCACUGCUUUUCCCCACAGCUUCUCAGAUGUUUGUAUCCCUCA